CAGUGUUACAGCUCUUUUAGAAUUUGUCUAGCAGGUUUUCUGGUUCCUACCAGAAAGCACCCCA
rnacentral:snRNA from 1 species